GUUGAGAUGGCAGAGCCCGGUAAUUGCAAAAGACCUAAGCCCUUUCACCCAGAGGUUCAACUCCUCUUCUUAAC
rnacentral:tRNA from 1 species